rnacentral:rRNA from 1 species
GUAGCAAAAUGCGAUAUUUGGUGUGAAUUGCAGAAUCUCGUGAGCCAUCAACUAUUUGAAUGCAAGUUGAGCUCGAAGCCGCUUGGCUGAGGGCACGCCUGCCUGGGCGUCAUUCCGAGCUACGCUCCUCCCCUCCUCCGUGUCCGGCU